GACGAACGCUGGCGGCGUGCUUAACACAUGCAAGUCGAACGCUGAAGCUCAGCUUGCUGGGUGGAUGAGUGGCGAACGGGUGAGUAACACGUGAGUAACCUGCCCUCUUCUUUGGGAUAACGCCCGGAAACGGGUGCUAAUACUGGAUAUUCACUGAUUCUCGCAUGGGGGUUGGUGGAAAGGUUUUUUCUGGUGGGGGAUGGGCUCGCGGCCUAUCAGCUUGUUGGUGGGGUGAUGGCCUACCAAGGCUUUGACGGGUAGCCGGCCUGGGAGGGUGACCGGUCACAUUGGGACUGAGAUACGGCCCAGACUCCUACGGGAGGCAGCAGUGGGGAAUAUUGCGCAGUGGGCGAAAGCAUGAGGCAGCGACGCCGCGUGAGGGAUGGAGGCCUUGGGGUUGGAAACCUCUUUCGCUCAUGGUCAAGCCGCAGCUUUGGGUUGUGGUGAGGGUAGUGGGUAAAGAAGCGCCGGCUAACUACGUG
rnacentral:rRNA from 1 species